rnacentral:rRNA from 1 species
GACGAACGCUGGCGGCGUGCUUAACACAUGCAAGUCGAACGGAAAGGCCCUGCUUUUGUGGGGUGCUCGAGUGGCGAACGGGUGAGUAACACGUGAGUAACCUGCCCUUGACUUUGGGAUAACUUCAGGAAACUGGGGCUAAUACCGGAUAGGAGCUCCUGCUGCAUGGUGGGGGUUGGAAAGUUUCGGCGGUUGGGGAUGGACUCGCGGCUUAUCAGCUUGUUGGUGGGGUAGUGGCUUACCAAGGCUUUGACGGGUAGCCGGCCUGAGAGGGUGACCGGCCACAUUGGGACUGAGAUACGGCCCAGACUCCUACGGGAGGCAGCAGUGGGGAAUAUUGCACAAUGGGCGGAAGCCUGAUGCAGCAACGCCGCGUGCGGGAUGACGGCCUUCGGGUUGUAAACCGCUUUCGCCUGUGACGAAGCGUGAGUGACGGUAAUGGGUAAAGAAGCACCGGCUAACUACGUGCCAGCAGCCGCGGUGAUACGUAGGGUGCGAGCGUUGUCCGGAUUUAUUGGGCGUAAAGGGCUCGUAGGUGGUUGAUCGCGUCGGAAGUGUAAUCUUGGGGCUUAACCCUGAGCGUGCUUUCGAUACGGGUUGACUUGAGGAAGGUAGGGGAGAAUGGAAUUCCUGGUGGAGCGGUGGAAUGCGCAGAUAUCAGGAGGAACACCAGUGGCGAAGGCGGUUCUCUGGGCCUUUCCUGACGCUGAGGAGCGAAAGCGUGGGGAGCGAACAGGCUUAGAUACCCUGGUAGUCCACGCUGUAAACGGUGGGUACUAGGUGUGGGGUCCAUUCCACGGGUUCCGUGCCGUAGCUAACGCUUUAAGUACCCCGCCUGGGGAGUACGGCCGCAGGGCUAAAACUCAAAGGAAUUGACGGGGCCCCGCACAAGCGGCGGAGCAUGCGGAUUAAUUCGAUGCAACGCGUAGAACCUUACCUGGGUUUGACAUGGAUCGGGAGCGCUCAGAGAUGGGUGUGCCUCUUUUGGGGUCGGUUCACAGGUGGUGCAUGGCUGUCGUCAGCUCGUGUCGUGAGAUGUUGGGUUAAGUCCCGCAACGAGCGCAACCCUUGUUCACUGUUGCCAGCACGUUAUGGUGGGGACUCAGUGGAGACCGCCGGGGUCAACUCGGAGGAAGGUGGGGAUGACGUCAAGUCAUCAUGCCCCUUAUGUCCAGGGCUUCACGCAUGCUACAAUGGCUGGUACAGAGAGUGGCGAGCCUGUGAGGGUGAGCGAAUCUCGGAAAGCCGGUCUCAGUUCGGAUUGGGGUCUGCAACUCGACCUCAUGAAGUCGGAGUCGCUAGUAAUCGCAGAUCAGCAACGCUGCGGUGAAUACGUUCCCGGG